rnacentral:rRNA from 1 species
GCAUUUAGGUUGUAUCAGCUGAUUUUGUCUGAUCUUGGAAGAUGAGCAAGUGAAGACCUGAUUAGUACUUGAAUUGGGAGACAUCUGGGAAUAUCAGAUGCU